AACGCACCUUGCGCCCCUUGGUAUUCCGAGGGGCACACCCGUUUGAGUGUCGUGAAAAUCUCAACCUUCUCGGUUUCUUCUGGAAACCAAAGGAGGCUUGGACUUUGGAGGCCUUUGCUGGCGUCUCUCUCUUUUGAGAGCCCAGCUCCUCUUAAAUGAAUUAGCGGGGUCCUCUUUGCUGGUCCUCGACAUGUGAUAAGAUGUUUCCAUGUCUUGGUUUCUGGCUCUGUUGCUUUUGGGACCCGCUUCUAACCGUCUCUAUGAGACAACGUUUGAGCACGUCUCCCGACGCUCUCAACCUCACGAACCCUUGACCUCAAAUCGGGUGAGACUACCCGCUGAACUUAA
rnacentral:misc_RNA from 1 species